rnacentral:tRNA from 1 species
UCUGAUAUGGUGUAGUGGCUAACAUGAUCACCUCUCACGGGAUAGCCCGGGGUUCGAUUCCCCGUGUCGGAA